rnacentral:rRNA from 1 species
UAACCUGCCCAAGAGAUCGGGAUAACACCUGGAAACAGAUGCUAAUACCGGAUAACAAUAGAUGAUGCCUAUCAACUGUUUAAAAGAUGGUUCUGCUAUCACUCUUGGAUGGACCUGCGGUGCAUUAGCUAGUUGGUAGGGUAACGGCCUACCAAGGCGAUGAUGCAUAGCCGAGUUGAGAGACUGAUCGGCCACAUUGGGACUGAGACACGGCCCAAACUCCUACGGGAGGCAGCAGCU